rnacentral:misc_RNA from 1 species
UGAACCUGCGGAGGGAUCAUUACCGAGUUUACAACUCCCAAACCCCUGUGAACAUACCACUUGUUGCCUCGGCGGAUCAGCCCGCUCCCGGUAAAACGGGACGGCCCGCCAGAGGACCCCUAAACUCUGUUUCUAUAUGUAACUUCUGAGUAAAACCAUAAAUAAAUCAAAACUUUCAACAACGGAUCUCUUGGUUCUGGCAUCGAUGAAGAACGCAGCAAAAUGCGAUAAGUAAUGUGAAUUGCAGAAUUCAGUGAAUCAUCGAAUCUUUGAACGCACAUUGCGCCCGCCAGUAUUCUGGCGGGCAUGCCUGUUCGAGCGUCAUUUCAACCCUCAAGCACAGCUUGGUGUUGGGACUCGCGUUAAUUCGCGUUCCCCAAAUUGAUUGGCGGUCACGUCGAGCUUCCAUAGCGUAGUAGUAAAACCCUCGUUACUGGUAAUCGUCGCGGCCACGCCGUUAAACCCCAACUUCUGAAUGUUGACCUCGGAUCAGGUAGGAAUACCCGCUGAACUUAAGCAUAUCAAUA